rnacentral:misc_RNA from 1 species
UCUCCGUUGGUGAACCAGCGGAGGGAUCAUUACCGAAGUUACCUUCAAAACCCACUGUGAACCUUACCUCUUGCCGCGUUGUCUCGGCGGGAGGCGGUGUGCGUCGCGCGCCCUAGCGGGCCGCGCCGCUCCCGUCCCCACCGGCAGCGCCAAACUCUAAAUGCACAGCGGACUGUACGUUCUGAUUUACAAAAAAAACAAGUUAAAACUUUCAACAACGGAUCUCUUGGUUCUG